AUGAACGCUGGCGUCGUGCCUAAUACAUGCAAGUCGAGCGAACAGACGAGGAGCUUGCUCCUCUGACGUUAGCGGCGGACGGGUGAGUAACACGUGGAUAACCUACCUAUAAGACUGGGAUAACUUCGGGAAACCGGAGCUAAUACCGGAUAAUAUAUUGAACCGCAUGGUUCAAUAGUGAAAGACGGUUUUGCUGUCACUUAUAGAUGGAUCCGCGCCGCAUUAGCUAGUUGGUAAGGUAACGGCUUACCAAGGCAACGAUGCGUAGCCGACCUGAGAGGGUGAUCGGCCACACUGGAACUGAGACACGGUCCAGACUCCUACGGGAGGCAGCAGUAGGGAAUCUUCCGCAAUGGGCGAAAGCUUGACGGAGCAACGCCGCGUGAGUGAUGAAGGUCUUCGGAUCGUAAAACUCUGUUAUUAGGGAAGAACAAAUGUGUAAGUAACUAUGCACGUCUUGACGGUACCUAAUCAGAAAGCCACGGCUAACUACGUG
rnacentral:rRNA from 1 species